rnacentral:lncRNA from 1 species
GAUGUUCAGAUGACUGUAUUGCAUUGAUUACAACCUGGAUGUUUUCUGAUUUGUUACUCAAAUCUGAGGAAAGAAAUAGAAAUUCUGGGCACAGCAUGUUCCAGGUCUACUCUACCAGGGCUGUUAUGGAAAAUUAGGCGUUUUAUUUAUUUAUUUUUGGUACAGUGAAUGAACCACUGAGUUAUAUUUCCAGUCCUUUUUUAUUUUUGAGACAGGGUCUUGCUAAAUUGUUGGUCUUACUAAAUUGCUGAGACUGGUCUUGAACUUGCAAUCCUCCUAUCUCCAAAUUGCUGGGAUUACAGGUGUACACCAUCAUGCCCAGUAUGAAAAAUUAUACCUGAAUGUAAAACCGUCCUGUCUAUAUGAGGUAGUAUUGUUGCAUUCUACCUGUAGUAUACCCACAUAUUUAUGUGACUAAAUUAUCGACAUAAUUUUUCAUUGUUUUACUCUCUCCUUGCUGUUAAUAACAUAUUCCAGAAUGACACUUGGAGGUUAGAAGACCAGAAACAAAGCUAUACUUAAGCAAAUCGUGCCAUUGGCUAACUAUAUUCCAUUUUUUCUCAGUGGAAAUGCAAAAUUUCAUUCAAUUUAUUGGCAAGAUGAAUGAGACUCAUUCUCAACUAAUAUUUGUAUUUUUUUCCGUAAAGAUAGUGUUCAGUACCAUCAGUUCAAAACCCUAAAUUUUGCUUAUACAUAUACAUAGUGGGGUUUUUUUGUUUGUUUGGUUGGUUUUUGUACAAAUUAAUUCAAAAAUUAUUUUUUAAAAACUUAAAAACACCUCCAUAUUUACUUCAUUGUAAAAUGGAUUGAUUCAAUAGUCCUGUAAAUUAAUCUCAAAAUAUUCAAAGGCCUUUAAAAAAUAAACAAUUUAAAAAUUUCUUGAACUUUCAGAAAAGUUGUAAUGUACAGUUCUGAUUGCUCUUCACCCCAAAUUUCCCCAAUAUUGACAUCUUCUAUAACCACCAUACAAAAAAAAUUAGUAUGCUAUUGACUAAGUACAAUUUUUUUUUCUUUUGUAUGGUGCUUUGGAUUGAACUCAGGGCUUUGCACAUGCUAGGCAAGCUUUCUGUCAUUAAGCUACAUCCCCAACCCUAAACUACAGAAUAUUUCAAACUUCAUCAGUUGUCCAAUAAUUUUUUUUUAAUUUUAUUUAUUUUUUAAACUGCUGUAGGAUCCAACCCAGGAAACUAUGUUUAAUGUCAUGAGGUCCUUUUUGAAGGGUAUCCAGGAGUGGAGACAAAAUUAUUUCCCUUUCUGUUGGAAAGAGAAAAAAUGCACAAAAAGAAUUCAGUAAAUGGCAGAUUGCAUUGAUCCCAGAAGCUGCCUGCUUUAUGGCUGCUGCUGGGGUAUCAGCAACUGCCCCUGAGUCCUGCUAUCCAAACUUAGGGUUAUCACCUAUUAUAGAGAUUGAGGCGUAUACCUAAAACCUGGCAUCUACUCUCAUGGUCCCACAGUAACAUUAAUUGUGAGCUUCUAGAGGGUCCCUUAAGCUUCUUCAGUCCCUUAGAGGUGUGAUACAAUUCAGUGGUUAACAGCCCAGCUGUGUUGUAAGACUCCUAGGCGUAAACCCUGCCUCUACCUGUGACUUUCAGCAAGGGAUUUAACCAUCUUGUUUUCAUUUUUUCACCUCCCUUUUGCAGAGAGGUUUAAAUUUUAUAAUCAUCAGAAAUCACUUAGAAUUCUGAGUGCCUGUAAGAACUAAGUAAAUGUUAACUGUCAUUUUCACUGUUCCAGAAGGAGUGGGUGCAUCAGUUUACCAAUUUGUUGGUCAGGAAGCAACAAAGACUUAGUGCUAGAGCAAAAACCAUAUAAGGAAAUCAAACUUUUAUUUAUUUAUUGGCUAGAGAGAAUUAGUGUUAUAAGGAAGACUAUUCCAUUGAUUAAUGAGAAAAACAUGUGAAACUUGAGAAUAGAAUUCUAGAAAACAAAAUGAAAUUUGCAUGACAAAAUUAUGGGACAAAGAUCAUUCUAGUCCUCUAAUGAUCUGUGGAUCCAAUUUUAAUCAAUUUUUUCUGAAAUGAGCACAAUUUUCCGUACCACUUCAAGCUUAGCUCACAUUUAAACAAUAAACAGGAAAAGUGUUCUAAUUUGUAGAAGUUAAUUUUAGAAUAAUUGUCACAAGUACUAUAGUUAGAUUUCUAGAGAAAACAGGCUUGCUGUCACAUACUAGUAAUCCAAGCUACUCAGGAGGCUGAGGCCGGGGGAUCACAAGUUCAAGAGCAGCCUAUGCAAUUUAACAAGACCCUAUUUGAAAAGGAACAUUAAAAAGAGGGCUGGGGGUGUAGUUCAGUGGUAGAGCACUUAUCUGGCAUGAGAGAGGCCCUGGGUAUAAUUUCUAGUAUUGCAAGAAAACAAAAAAGGUGCCAGAUGUAGUGGCACAUGCCUGCAAUCUCAGCGAUUUGGAAAGCUGAAGCAGGAAGAUCACCAGUUCAAGGACAGUCUCAGCAAUUUAGCGAGGCUCUAAGCAACUUAGUGAGAUCCUAUCUCAAAGUUUAAAAAUUUAAAAAGGGCUGGGGAUAUGGCUCAGUGGUUAAGCACCCCUGGGUUCAAGACUCAAUACCAAAGAAAAGAAAAAAGGAAUAUUGUAAAAUAACUAUUUCAUAAUAUCAUAAAUUGGCCUUUGCAUAGUGUUUUGCAUUUUUCAGAGAACUUUUAUUCCUAGUCAUUUUUUCCAUAUAAUCUGUGAAAUAAAGGAAAAUGUAGGAAUUAUGAUCCACAUCUUGAUCUUUAGGAAACUGAAACUCAGAGGGAAGAACGCAUAUCAGGAAAGGCUUCACAGAGGAAGCGACCCAACACUGAAGCUUGAGAGAUGGUUCCCCCAGAUAGGGUGCCAUAGAGUUAGGGCAUAGAGAUAGAGGAGAAGAGAGUUCUUUAGAGGGAUCAGAUCAGAUCUUGAUACUGUGGGUAAUGGCAGUGUAGAGGGAGGUUUUUUUUUCAAGAGUAGGAGUCCAGAUUUUAUUCCUGAGCAGCAAGUCACUUUGAGGCAAAGGAGAGUAACAUCAGAUUUUUAGUUUAGGAAGAUCACUGUGCCAAUAGUAUAGAAGACAAACUGGAAAAAUUGUUAGUUGAUAGGUUUGUGAUAGUUGAUAUUUUUAAAAUCUAUUGGUCAAGGACUGUCAGGCCCCUGGAAUGAUGACAUUGAGCAAGAGUGGGCAGCCAGGUUGGCACCAGCAGCACAAUACUGCCUGUGACAAAAGCAUAAGAUUUAGACACAGAAACCACUGGCUUCUGCCCUAGAUUUGUCAGAUUGACACAUUUUCCUGGAGUAUUACCAUGUAAUUGGCUUACCUCAUCUGUGUAAUAAGAGUAUUUGUAUGGCACCAGUUUUCUAUGUUAAUUAACAGAUUGCUUCUAACAACAAAUUAGGACUUGAGAAUGAAGACAAAUGUGAAGAUAUCAUAGGCUGGUCCCAGCAUCAUACCCAAGGGCGGAGGGUUCAGUAGACUACCUACACUAUGCAAGCAGCAUCAAACUGGAGGUUUUAGGAUCCAGUUUUAAACAGCUUCCAUUAGAAGCAAUUAUUCAAAAGAUUUCCACAUUGUCUCCUUGGAAGUACAGUGUCCCUAAAGAUUUAUACAGAGCUUUCAAGGUUAAUAUUGUAUUAUACCCAAGGCUCUCUCUUGAAAUCAGGUGAAAGCAAAACAAAAUGUCCACUAGUAGUUCUGUAUGAAUAGUUUAUUUAUUCUACUUGUAAUCACACAGAGAACUGAGUUCCUGCCAGGGAGAAAACAGCAUGUGAUAGAUCUUCUGGGACAAUACACUGGGUGGACGAAGUGUUUUGUUUGAAGCAUGCCAGAUCUAAGGCUAAAAGCCCUGAGAAAUGCAGGGUAGCCCUCUCUCUUGAUUCUGGCCCUGUAGAAUUUGUGUGGGAAACACCAUAAUCUGAGUAGCAUUGUAGCAUUUACUAAAAUAGCACAGGACCCCAAAGGUAACCACUUUUAGUGUUGGAUAGCCACAUGCCCAGGAAGUCCAUAAUUAUUAACAGAAUUUAUCUUCUAAAUGAUGCAAAGUAGGGAAGUAAAGGAAUGAGUGGAGGCUGCCCUGGAAAACCAUAAAUGAUGCAAUGAGUGUUUAUAAAUAGUUUCUCUAGGAAGCAGAAGAAUGUACACAGUAGCCAGGUUUCUAUAAAGUUAACUGUAAAUGUAACUUUUGCAAAUGGGAUUUUACUUUAAAUAUACUUUAGGAGUUGGCCACUUAGAGGAAUCUUUUGAAGAACUUACUUAUCAUGUUUUUGUUUCUUAGGUUUGUAUCUUUUAAGCAACAGUUAUUUGGAACUGUUUUAUAACUAAAUAAAUUGGUCUUUGAUGUCUGAAGCAGUUUCUUUAGUUAUUCAUGUUAUUUUCCUUGAGGGAAAAGUAAGGGGUUUUUGCUUGUUUAUAUUUAAACCCCUGUGCUUUUCUUAUUUCUUUGUAUUGCUUUUUUUUUUUUAAAGAGAGAGUGCGAGAGAUAGAGGUAGAGAGAGAGAAUUUUUUAAUAUUUAUUUUUUAGCAUUUGGC